rnacentral:rRNA from 1 species
AUACGGAGGAUCCGAGCGUUAUCCGGAUCUAUUGGGUUUAAAGGGUGCGCAGGCGGGAGAUUAAGUCGGUGGUGAAAUUUUGCAGCUCAACUGUAAAAGUGCCUUCGAAACUGGUUUCCUUGAGUGUAGAUGAAGUAGGCGGAAUUUGUGGUGUAGCGGUGAAAUGCAUAGAUAUCACGAGGAACUCCGAUUGCGCAGGCAGCUUACUAAACUACUACUGACGCUCAGGCACGAAGGCGUGGGGAUCAAACAGGAUUAGAUACCCUGGUAGUCCACGCAGUAAACGAUGAUUACUAGCUGUUUGCGAUACAAUGUAAGCGGCUGAGCGAAAGCGUUAAGUAAUCCACCUGGGGAGUACGUUCGCAAGAAUGAAACUCAAAUGAAUUGACGGGG